rnacentral:lncRNA from 1 species
CCGCUUGGGCCGCCGCACACCCCCGCAGUGUCCUCGUUGAUGAUUGGUCCUCGAUGGACCGCCCAUCGCGCAUGUAUUGGUCCAUUUGAAAGGACAGCGGGCACGCGCCGCCCGCAGCCUUAAAGGGGCCGCGCGCGGAACCGCGUUUCCCUGGGGACUUGGGCGCUACAGGCUCAACUGGGAAGCCGGGUGGCUGGAGAAAAAGCCGCCAAAAACCCCCGGAAAGAAAAGAAAAAGCGGGGCCCUCGGGGCUUACUUGGCGUGGCAGGUACAGCAUCAUUGGAAUGUGCACAGCGGCCCAGCCUGGCAUCCCUCUCAGAGCACCUGUGGGUACAGGAAACUGAACAUGAAGAACAUCCCUCCCUGCUCUAGGGAAGGGCAGGAGGCUAUGAAAAGCAGUUUGGGGAGCAAGCUGGAAAUCUGCAGAGGGAAUACUAAAGACAUCAAUACUGUGCUCCCUUUCUUCUUUCUCUUUCCCUCAUACCAAGGAUUGAACCCAGGGUGCACUGAGCUACAUCCCCAGACCUUUUCUUUCUUUUUUUUGGGUACUGGGGAUCAAACUCCGGUCCUUCUGCUUGCGAGGGAGGCAGCGGAACCACUGAGCUAAAUCCCCGGCCCUCCAGCCCUUUUCUUUUCUUGUCUUCUCCUCUCUUCUUUUCUUUUCUUUAGACAGGGUCUUGAUAAGCUAAGUUGCUCAGG